GAACGCUGGCGGUAUGCUUAACACAUGCAAGUCGAACGGAGUGGCGGACGGGUGAGUAACGCGUAGGAAUCUACCUAAUAGUGGGGGAUAGCCCANAGAAAUCUGGAUUAAUACCGCAUAAUCUUAUCANAUGANCCUGCGUAAGAUUAGCUAGNUGGUGAGGUAAAAGCUCACCAAGGCNACNAUCUUUAGCUGGUCUGAGAGGAUGAUCAGCCNCACUGGAACUGANACACGGCCCANACUCCUACGGGAGGCAGCAGUGGGGAAUAUUGGACAAUGGGCGCAAGCCUGAUCCAGCAAUACCGCGUGUGUGAAGAAGGCCUGANGGUUGUAAAGCACUUUCAAUUGUGAAGAAAAGACGUUAACCUUUAGAAGAAGCACCNGGCUAACUUCCGUGNCCAGCAGCCNGCGGUAAUACGGAGGGUSCAAGCGUUAAUCGGAAUUACUGGGCGUAAAAGCGUGCGUAGGUGGUUUGUUAAGUUAGAUGUGAAAGCCCUGGGCUCAACCUAGGAACUGCAUUUAAAAACUGGCAAACUAGAGUAUAGGAGAGGGAAUGUGGGAAUUUCAGGUGUAGCGGUGAAAUGCGUAGAUAUCUGAAGGAACAUCAAUGGCGAAGGCAGCUUUCUGGACUAAUACUGACACUGAKGUACGAAAGCGUGGGUAGCAAACAGGAUUAGAUACCCUGGUAGUCCACGCCGUAAACGAUGACAACUAGCCGUUGGUGGCGAAGCUAACGCGAUUAAGUUGUCCGCCNUGGGGAGUACGGCCGCAAGGUUAAAACUCCAARGGAAUUGACGGGGAACCCGCACAAGCGGNUGGAGCAUGUGGUUUAAUUCGAUGCAMCGCGAARAACCUUACCUGGUCCUUGACAAUUACAGGUGCUGCAUGGCUGUCGUCAGCUCGUGUCGUGAGAUGUUGGGUUAAGUCCCGUAACGAGCGCAACCCUUAUCCUUAUUUGCCAGCACAUGGUGGGAACUAUAAGGAGACUGCCGGUGAUAAACCGGAGGAAGGCGGGGACGACGUCAAGUCAUCAUGGCCCUUACGACCAGGGCUACACACGUGCUACAAUGGGAAGGACAAAGGGUUGCUAAGCCGCGAGGUGGUGCUAAUCUCAUAAACCUUUUCGUAGUCCGGAUCGGAGUCUGCAACUCGACUCCGUGAAGUCGGAAUCGCUAGUAAUCGUGGAUCAGAACGCCACGGUGAAUACGUUCCCGGGUCUUGUACACACCGCCCGUCAUACCAUGGAAGUGGGUUGCACCAGAAGUAGCUAGUCUAACUGGUUACCACGGUGUGAUCCAUGACUGGGGUA
rnacentral:rRNA from 1 species